AUCCAGCUGACGAGUCCCAAAUAGGACGGAACGCGUCUCCUGAAU
rnacentral:hammerhead_ribozyme from 1 species